ACCCGGUGGAGGAACUUGUUUUUUGACAGGCAUACUACAGAUGCUGUGCUGCGAACGGACACUGCAGUCACCUGUGGGAGGGGUCAAUCAAAUCGGAUCUCAAAAACAGAUGUCGCGAAUCUGAUCUGAUCUACCUACCUCUAUGUGGCAAUAGAGUACCUGCUUUUACUGGCCAGGGGACCAAGAUGAAAACAAGAGGCCUGUACCCAGACAUCCAAGUACCUAUCAAGUCACCCAGUCCUCCACCACCUGCCGUGCAGCUAUACCCAUCCAUCAAAUCCAGCCACUUGCCCACCCUAACCAGUCACAGCAUUUGGAGGCAAUAAAGUAUAAUGAAAUGUAUUUAAUUGUCUUGGGUUUUUUUUCUAGAUGCAUAAAUAUUCC